CUCUCAAUCCGCCGCUGCUUCUUCUUUUUCUACUGCUUCUCUUCUACAUUAAAAAAGCGGAGAUUCAUCAACGAAAUCCAUCAAAAACAUCAGAGUUUCUCUAUUCUUUUCAUCAACAGCAGCUGAAAACGAAGAUUCAUCAACAACAUCAUUUCUUGAAGAUUUGUUCUGAAUCGAUGAAGAGCAGUCGAUGAGGAUCAUCGACAAUAGUCAUUUACAUAUAUAUAUUUUCUCUUUCAUGUUGUUGGUACCCUAGUUUUGUUUCUGUUUUAAUUGAUGCUGGUGGUAAUUUGAAUUUUAGGGAAGAUGUUCUUAACAAAUUCUCUUCGUAUUAUGAUUUUUAAUCUAGGGUUUUGAGAUUCUAUUUUGAUUUGAUUUGGGGGGUUCUCUAAUUGUUAUGAAUCAGGGUUUCCAAUGGUUUUAAUCACAGUCAUGGAGCUUCCUGGGUUGUAAUUAGAUUCUCUGAUAGAAAUGUUAAAAUCUGAAAUUUGGAUUUUGAGAUCGUGGUUGUACCCAAAGUUAGGGUUUUAUGGUUGCUCUAGUUGGCAUUACUGAUUAGUUUACUUUCUUAUUAAUUUGAUUUCAGAGGUUCUUCAAUUGUUUGGAAUUAGGGUUUUCUUGUUUCUGGGAUUUGAGAUUAGGAUAUGUCAAAACCUGAGGUUUUCUUGUUUCUGGGAUUUAAUCAGUUAUGAAACUUCCUGGGUUGUGAUUAGAUUCUUCAACAGGAAUACCAAACUUAGUUUUUGGAAUUUCCAAUACUGAUUAGUCAAGAUAAAAUUAUUUUCUCAUAACGUAUUUCUUCUUGUAGGUUAUCCUUUCUGAUGCUAAUGUUCCUUGUGAAGGGGAACACAAAAUUAUGUCUUAUGUUCGUCUCAAAGAAACCUUCCUGGUUUCAAUCCAAAUACUCGUCACUGCCUCUAUGGUUUAACAGGUGUAUUCCACGGAAUCAAGAAAGAUGGCGAGGGUGACACGGUUGAUUGCAAGAGUAGGUUGGAACUUCUUAUGGUGUCAUCUCCUGAUCGAGAAGAGGUGGAUGGGAGGAUGAUGACACUAUAGGCGAAGCCGCAUGUCAUGAAGCCUUGGAGGAAGCUGGAGUUAAAGGAAUACUAAAUGUGUUGAAGCUGUUGAUCUUGUACUUCCGAUUUCUGUUGCAGUUUCGGUUAUCCAGUUUUACAAUAUAGCACUUCAGCAUGUGCGUGACCUUUACCUGGAGUUAAGGAAGAAAUAUAGGGACCUACAUAUGCGCUGCAAAGUUUGUAACUCAGUGGACCUGUUUUCAGAAGAAUACAUUUCGUGAGUUUCUAUAUGUACACUAGUUUGCUGUGAUACUUAGCAUACAUUUAUAUCAAACUUUUUGUUCAACUUCAAUUGAAGAAUCCCUUUUUUAUAAUUAAUACAGUUUUGUACGUCUAUUGAAUGAAUGUUG